CCUACGGGGGGCAGCAGUGGGGGAUAUUGCACAAUGGGGGAAACCCUGAUGCAGCAACGCCGCGUGAGUGAAGAAGUAUUUCGGUAUGUAAAGCUCUAUCAGCAGGGAAGAGAAUGACGGUACCUGACUAAGAAGCCCCGGCUAACUACGUGCCAGCAGCCGCGGUAAUACGUAGGGGGCGAGCGUUAUCCGGAUUUACUGGGUGUAAAGGGAGCGUAGACGGCUGGUCAAGUCUGAAGUGAAAGCCCGGGGCUUAACCCCGGAACGGCUUUGGAAACUGAGCAGCGAGAGUGCGGGAGAGGUAAGCGGAAUUCCUAGUGUAGCGGUGAAAUGCGUAGAUAUUAGGAGGAACACCAGUGGCGAAGGCGGCUGACUGGACAGUAACUGACGUUGAGGCGCGAAAGCGUGGGGAGCAAACAGGAUUAGAUACCCUGGUAGUC
rnacentral:rRNA from 1 species